rnacentral:rRNA from 1 species
CCCUUAGAUGUCCGGGGCCGCACGCGCGCUACAAUGGAUGAAUCAACGCGUCAUCCUGGCCCGAAAGGGUUGGGGAACCGCUGAACCUCAUCCGUGGUUGGGAUUGGGGUUUGUAAUUAUUCCCCAUGAACUAGGAAUUCCCAGUAAGCGCGAGUCAUAAGCUCGCGUUGAUUACGUCCCUGCCCUUUGUACACACCGCCCGUCGCUACUACCGAUUGGAUGGUUUAGUGAGAUCCUCGGAUUGGUCACGGCACGGUGGCAACACUGCGUCGGUGUGCCGAGAGGACGAUCAAACUUGAUCAUCUAGAGGAAGUAAAAGUCGUAACA